GACUUGGGAAAAAUCUUAUUCUUGAAGUUAUGGAGUUUUCUUCAAAUUUCUUCCUUCUUUCCUUGAUAUUCUUCUUCUCAUCAGCUCUACUCCUCUUUCUCCACCGUCGAAUUAAGCCCAGCCUUAACUGCCGCCUUCCUCCAGGACCGCUAGGAUGGCCAAUACUUGGCAACAUGCUCGAUCUUGGAACAAUGCCACACCGUACCCUAUUUGGUCUAAGACCCAAAUAUGGUGAUGUUAUAUGGUUAAGACUGGGCUCAAUGAACUCUAUGGCAAUCCUCUCAGCCAAAGCAGCCACAGAGUUCUUCAAGAACCAUGACCUCUCUUUUGCUGAACGCACCAUCACUGAAACCAUGCGUGUCCAUGACUACCACAAGGGCUCUUUAGCCUUAGCCCCUUAUGGUUCCUAUUGGCGUGUUCUUAGGCGCUUGGUCACAGUCGACAUGUUAGUGCACAAGCGCAUCAACGACACCGCAAUUAUACGUAGAAAAUGUUUGGACAACAUGUUGUUAUGGAUUGAGGAAGAGGCAUGUAAACUGGAAGCUAAAUGUGGUCUUCAUGUGGCAAGGUUUGUGUUCCUCAUGACCUUCAAUUUACUUGGAAACCUUAUGUUAUCACAAGACUUGCUUGAUCCUCAGUCGAAGGACGGGUCGGAGUUUUUCACGGCGAUGAUGGGACUAAUGGAGUGGUCCGGGUAUGCUAACAUGUCAGACUAUUUUCCAUGGCUAAGGUGGUUGGACUUGCAGGGCCUUAGGAAGAACAUGGAGAGGGAUCUUGGGAAAGCUUUGGAGAUUGCAUCCAAGUUUGUGAAGAAGCGCUUGAUGGAUAGGCAACAAGGGGAAGAGAAGAAGGAUUUCUUGGAUUUGUUGCUAGAAUUUGAAGGCAAUGGAAUUGAGGAGCCUGCCAAAAUUUCUGAUAGGGACCUAAAUAUUUUCAUUUUGGAACUAUUUAUGGCUGGUUCAGAAACAACAAGCAGCACUACUGAGUGGGCACUAACUGAGCUCCUACGCAAUCCUAAUUCCAUGAUUAAGGCUAAAGCUGAGCUUAUGCAAGUAGUAGGAGCAAACCACAAGGUUGAGGAAAGUGACAUUGACAACCUUCCAUACCUACAAGCUAUAAUAAAGGAAACACUCCGAUUACAUCCUCCAAUUCCAUUCCUAGUUCCUCGAAAAGCAAUUAGAGAUACCAACUUUAUGGGGUUUGAGUCUUUGACAUACCCAAAAAUACACAAGUUCUUGUAAAUGCUUGGGCUAUUGGAAGAGACUCAGAUGUGUGGGAUGACCCUUUGUCUUUCAAGCCCGAGAGGUUUAUAGGCACAAAAAUAGAUUACAAGGGUCAACAUUAUGAGCUAAUCCCAUUUGGAGCUGGGAGGAGAAUGUGUGCAGGUGUGCCUUUGGCUCAUAGAGUCCUUCACCUUAUUUUGGGCUCAUUGCUUCACAAAUUUGAUUGGGAGCUUGAUGGCAAUGUGACUCGAGAGACGAUGGACAUGAAGGACCGGUUGGGCAUAACAAUGAGAAAGAGUGAACCAUUACUGGUAGUGCCUAAAAAAUGUAUUGUUAUAGACUAA